UACGUAGGGUGCAAGCGUUGUCCGGAAUUAUUGGGCGUAAAGAGCUCGUAGGCGGCUUGUCGCGUCGGCUGUGAAAACCCGGGGCUCAACCCCGGGCCUGCAGUCGAUACGGGCAGGCUAGAGUCCGGUAGGGGAGACUGGAAUUCCUGGUGUAGCGGUGAAAUGCGCAGAUAUCAGGAGGAACACCGGUGGCGAAGGCGGGUCUCUGGGCCAUAACUGACGCUGAGGAGCGAAAGCGUGGGGAGCGAACAGG
rnacentral:rRNA from 1 species